AUGUUAUAUGAUAAGAAAGAAGGGUAGUACUUCCUUUGAUAAAGGUGUGAGAGAUCCCAAUGGCAUUUACAACACAUAUAUGGUUAAAGCAUUGCCACCUAUUCUGUGGCACCUAACCAUGCUCAACU